CCCCUCAUAGUUUAAUGGGAUAAAACUCUUGACCGCUAAUCUUGGGUUGCAGGUUCGAGUCCUGCUGAGGGGA
rnacentral:tRNA from 1 species